GACGAACGCUGGCGGCGUGCUUAACACAUGCAAGUCGAACGGAAAGGCCCUGCAUUUGUGGGGUGCUCGAGUGGCGAACGGGUGAGUAACACGUGAGUAACCUGCCCUUUACUUUGGGAUAACUUCAGGAAACUGGGUCUAAUUACGGAUAGAUACUCCUGAUGCAUGGUGGGGGUUGGAAAUUUUCGGUGGUUGGGGAUGGUCGCGCGGCUUAUCAGUUUGUUGGUGGGGUAGUGGCUGACCAAGGCUUCGACGGGUAGCCGGCCUGGGAGGGUGACCGGCGACAAGAGGACUGAGAGACGGCGCAGUGGGGAAUGGGAGGCAAUGGUGGGGAGUAUGACACAGUGGGCGGGAGCGUGAGGCAGCGACGCCGCGGGCGUGAAGACCGCCUGCGGGUUGUAAACCGCUUUCGGCUGUGACGAAGCUGGAGUGACGGUACUGAGUAAAGAAGCACCGGCUAACUACGUG
rnacentral:rRNA from 1 species